GAUGAACGCUGGCGGCGUGCCUAAUACAUGCAAGUCGAGCGAACAGACGAGGAGCUUGCUCCUCUGACGUUAGCGGCGGACGGGUGAGUAACACGUGGAUAACCUACCUAUAAGACUGGGAUAACUUCGGGAAACCGGAGCUAAUACCGCAUAAUAUAUUGAACCGCAUGGUUCAAUAGUGAAAGACGGUUUUGCUGUCACUUAUAGAUGGAUCCGCGCCGCAUUAGCUAGUUGGUAAGGUAACGGCUUACCAAGGCAACGAUGCGUAGCCGACCUGAGAGGGUGAUCGGCCACACUGGAACUGAGACACGGUCCAGACUCCUACGGGAGGCAGCAGUAGGGAAUCUUCCGCAAUGGGCGAAAGCUUGACGGAGCAACGCCGCGUGAGUGAUGAAGGUCUUCGGAUCGUAAAACUCUGUUAUUAGGGAAGAACAAAUGUGUAAGUAACUAUGCACGUCUUGACGGUACCUAAUCAGAAAGCCACGGCUAACUACGUG
rnacentral:rRNA from 1 species